UGGGAAACGUGCGCGGAUGCCGCCAACACGCUCAUGCCUGUCUGUGAACACCGACAGCAGGUAUCUCCUUCCCCUCUCCCUCCCCCUCCCUCUCCCCUCUCUCCCUUCUGCAUUUCACUGAGUGGGCAGACAACGCAAGCGCUCUGCUGGGUGGAAGUGUCCCUGCGGGUUUGUGCGCGUGCGUUCGUGCGUGUAUCUGUGUGUGUAUGUGCAUAUGCGCAUCCGAAGAAUCCGUAGUGUACUGGAAGGUGCAGCGCGCAGACCACUCCAGGCCGUACAACAAGUAGCGCGCCAAUUCAACGGGUAAAAAGACGCACAUUCGGCGCCGAAGGACUGAGCUGUGGCGGACGGUGGCGUUACGGCAAGAGAUGCUACGUCGCACACUCGCCCACUGUAACAGGCCGAAAGGCCCGCCAGGGCUGCGGCCCGGGAAGGAGUACCGCCUUACCGUUCCGUAUCGCAGCGAGGUGACAAUGAUCCGUCAGGCCGGCUUGAAGAAGUUCAACAGCAACAUCCGCGAGCUCUUCAAGAAGCCGUUGGAGCAGAACAACAUCAAGGCUGUGCCACGUGACCUGGGUGAGCUGCCCCGCAACUACGUUGUGAAGCUGCUCUUCUUUCACCAGCCGAUUCGCCUGCUUGACCUGUGGGAGCUGUGCAAGCAACACAACGACGUCCCCCUCGACUCUGCGCGGCACCUGCGCCUCGUGCUCAAAAUUGCGAAGCUGCAGAAGUGGGUGUACGCAGAGAAAAAUCAGACAGACAACCUGUACUACUACUACGUGCACCAGAGCCGCACACAUGAGGUGCAACAGAUGGUGCGGCAGGACGAGGUUGUGAAGCGAGCGCGGGAAACCGAGGUAAAGGUGCAGGCGAUGCGAAAGGAAGAGGAGCGUCAGGCACGCCAGGCGCAGAGCCUUGAUGACCGCAUCAUCGCCCUGCAGAACACGCUAGUGAGCAACGUGGGUCACAUACGCGCCUUUGACCCCGCCUUCGUCGAUGCCAAACCCUACGCCAUGGAGUCUGGGGCGGUGAACUGCGCGUGGCACUGGGAGCGGGCAGCCGAUGCGGCGGCACAGAGCUCGUUUUCUCACGCCGAAGAGAGCUCGAAGCCGUGAGAGUGGAAAGCAGUCUCCUUUCCCCCACCCCGCUGGUCGGCUGUGUGCGUGCAUCCGCCGCGUCGCGUUCCUGCCGUUAAGGCUGUCUGCAGGGUCAUGACUGUGCAAACGGACGCGGAGAGAUGUAGAUGUGCGGGCAAACGCACGGCUCGUUUAUUCUCUUCCGCUGGGUAGGGUGCGCUUCCGUGCCGCUCGCGACACCCUUCCCCCUCCCUGCCGCGGUGGUGCGUUUGUUGGUAUUACGUGCAUGAGUGUGUGUGUGUGUGUGUGGCGUGUGGCUCGUUACGGUAUGCGCCAUGAUAAAAACGACAUUGGCAGAGAGU
rnacentral:misc_RNA from 1 species